CCCUUAGAUGUUCUGGGCCGCACACGCGCUACACUGAAGGAGGCAGCGUGUACUCCUGGAUCGAAAGAUUUGGGUAACCCGCGAAUCUCCUUCGUGCUAGGGAUUGAGGUUUGCAAUUAUCCAUCAUGAACGAGGAAUUCCCAGUAAGUGCAAGUCAUAAGCUUGCGCUGACUACGUCCCUGCCCUUUGUACACACCGCCCGUCGCUACUACCGAUUGAAUGAUUUAGUGAGGACUUCGGACUGGGACCGAUGCGGCUUUCGGGCUGCGUCGGUAUUCUGGAAAGAUGUCCAAACUGUAUCAUUUAGAGGAAGUAAAAGUCGUAACA
rnacentral:rRNA from 1 species